GGCCCAAUGGUCUAGUGGUAUGAUUCGCCCUUCGGGUCUAACAACCCUUGUGCUCAGCGCAAAUCUGAUUGGGCGAGGCCCCGCGUUCGAAUCGCGGUUGGGCCC
rnacentral:tRNA from 1 species